rnacentral:rRNA from 1 species
GAUCACGCUGGCGGCGUGCCUAACACAUGCAAGUCGAACGCGAAAGGGGCUUCGGCCCUGAGUAGAGUGGCAAACGGGUGAGUAACACGUGGGUGACCUGCCUUCGAGUGGGGGAUAACGUCCCGAAAGGGACGCUAAUACCGCAUGACAUCCUGCUCUUGGACGAGCGGAGAUCAAAGCUGGGGAUCGCAAGACCUGGCGCUUGAAGAGGGGCCCGCGCCUGAUUAGCUAGUUGGUGGGGUAACGGCUCACCAAGGCGACGAUCAGUAUCCGGCCUGAGAGGGCGGACGGACACACUGGGGCUGAGACACGGCCCAGACUCCUACGGGAGGCAGCAGUGGGGAAUUGUUCGCAAUGGGCGCAAGCCUGACGACGCAACGCCGCGUGGAGGACGAAGAUCUUCGGGUCGUAAACUCCUGUCGAGCGGGAAGAACGCUUCCCGGGUGAAUAUCCCGGGAAGUUGACGGUACCGCUAAAGGAAGCCCCGGCUAACUCCGUGCCAGCAGCCGCGGUAAUACGGGGGGGGCAAGCGUUGUUCGGAAUUACUGGGCGUAAAGGGCUCGUAGGCGGCCAACUAAGUCGGAUGUGAAAUCCCCAGGCUCAACCUGGGAACUGCAUCCGAUACUGGAUGGCUUG